CGGUUUCGAUACGCCUAAUAACACUGUUGCCUUCCCGGGUUCAGGACUUGCUUUCACUGAUUUCUUGGAACCAAACCUUGCAGAAACCUGUGGUUUCUUUUUCUCUUCUUUCUCAAACAAGAAGUCCAUUGGAUUACUCCUAUGUGGAGGCUGCACCGAUUUGUAAGACACCGCAGCCUCAUCACCAGCUUCCGUCACUGUUAUCUCUUUUUCUACAACCCUACCCUCCUCACUACUGUACACAGCAUUCACAGUGCG
rnacentral:misc_RNA from 1 species